rnacentral:rRNA from 1 species
GAGAGUUAAAUAGUACGUGAAAUUGUUGAAAGGGAAACGAUUGAAGCCAGUCGUACCUAUGGGUAAUCAGCCUUUUGGGUGUGAUUUUGUGGAGCGUGAGGAGUUAAACGCCUUCAUGCCUGCAUAUUCGUGCACUUUGGGUGUACUUGCCCGUAUGGUUGGUUAACAUCAAUUUUGGUGGUCAUAAAAUGACUGGAGGAAUGUAGCUUCGAUCUCGUAUUGAAGUGUUAUAGCCUUCGGUAGAUGUGAUGAUCGAGAUUGAGGAUUGCAACGGAUACCCUUCGGGGCUACCUGUCUGAUCUCUGAUCGUUGCUCUGGUGCCGAAAGCUUGCUUACGGUUAUCAAAGUCAAUGGUCAAUAGGUUAGAACGGGUUAAAUUCGUUAAGGAUGUUGACGUAAUGGCUUUAAACGA